ACAACUCCUCAUUAAAUCUCAUCCUGGAGAAGUUGUAAAGCCUGGUAAGUUUCUUCAUUACUGUAUUCAUUCUGAAUAGUUGCCCUGUACUUGUGAUUUGGUUAAUUCUUGAUGUUAUGAGUCACUGUCUUAUUGGCUCUUGGUUUUUUUUCCUAUACUACCUUUAUUAGGGUUGGUCAAAUAAAUGUGUAGUCGGUAUUCACUUGAACCUGUGAUGAUUAUUUUGAUUGGUGUUUUAUACAUGUAUCAGCGUAAGUGUUUGGGUAUGUCACAAAGAGAGAACAAACAACCAAAAAUACAUGAACAGAAAACAAACAUCACAACUGAUGAAUAUGUGAUGACAAUAUGUGCACAGCCAUUCAAAGAUGACCAAUUUUUCUGGAAAAGAGAAAAAUAACAAGGAUUAAGGUUAUUAUAGGAAUAAUGGGAGUGAGAAGGUAAUAUGUUUUAAAUCUAAUCGAGAAUAAGAAAACGGAGUGGGUGGGAAUAACAUAUUUGCCUUUCAAAUUUAAAUCAUAUUACCCGAUCUCCCUUUAUUCCUAUAAUAGCACCUCUCUCUCUCUCUCUCUCUCUCUCUCUCUCUCUCUCUCUCUCUCUCUCUCUCUCUCUCUCUCUCUCUCUCUAGCUAGUGACUCAUGUGUUCUACUUACUGCUGUGCAAUUAUUGUGGACCAAAUGAUAUUUGCAACUUGUCCCCAAAGUCGUAAUUUAACUCCUUCAUACUCGUGGACAAGAUUGGACAUUAGAACAACAAACAUGCUUGUGUAGUCAAGUUCUCAUUCUCCAUUUUGAGUUGGAAAUUUUUCUUUUAGUUCUCACUUGUUUACUUAAUAAUUUGAUAAGGUGUUGGUAAUUUGACAAGGUGGUGUUAAUUUCUAUAAGGUUAUUCAGUACACAAUUACGAAAUGUAUCAGGAGUGAAAACUAGACUAUUAGUUUUUUUUUUAGCUUGUAGUGUGAAAUUUUUUGUUCAUGGUAAUAGUUGGAUGUUGCAUCAGAUUUUUUUGUAGUUCCCCUGAUUUUGUUUCUAUCUUCACCGGUGUCUCUCAGAUCAAUUCAAGGCUAUAAACGAUGAGGGCAUGCCAAUGUACCAGAGGCCAUUCAUGAAGGGUAAGUUAUAUAUUCAUUUCACAGUGGAGUUCCCCGACUCACUGAACCCAGAACAGUGCAAGGCCCUGGAGGCUGUCCUUCCCCCCAGGACUUCGGCACAACUUACCGACAUGGAGUUGGAUGAAUGUGAGGAGACCACGCUGCAUGAUGUAAACAUAGAGGAGGAAAUGCGUCGAAAGCAAGCACAUGCGCAAGAGGCAUAUGACGAGGAUGAGGACAUGCAUGGUGGUGCCCAAAGGGUCCAAUGUGCUCAGCAAUGAUUAGAUUAAGCAAGCUUUAUGAAGUUAUUUGAGAAAAAUAAAAGUUAUCGGCACCGUGGUCUGUUGGUCUAGCUUCCCAGUGUUUAUUUCUGGUUUGGUGUGUGAAUCCGAAACUUCUUCGGAACAAUAGCUGUUAAGGAGAUGCUUAUUCUACUUAAACGUGGUUUGGUCUGUUGGUCUGUUGUUGAAUGCUAAGAAUUUGUU
rnacentral:lncRNA from 1 species